CUACGGGAGGCAGCAGUCGGGAAUUUUGCGCAAUGGCCGCAAGGCUGACGCAGCAACGCCGCGUGAGUGAAGAAGGCCUUCGGGUUGUAAAGCUCUGUUGCCUGCGAAGAAACCUACCUUCAAGGAAUGGGAGGUAGCUGACGGUAGCAGGAGAGGAAGCCCCGGCUAACUACGUGCCAGCAGCCGCGGUAAUACGUAGGGGGCGAGCGUUGUCCGGAUUUAUUGGGCGUAAAGGGCGUGUAGGCGGCCUGUCAAGUCCGAAGUGAAAGCCCGCAGCUCAACUGCGGGACUGCUUCGGAAACUGGGAGGCUUGAGUGCUCUAGAGGGCAGUGGAAUUCCCGGUGUAGCAGUGAAAUGCGUAGAGAUCGGGAGGAACACCAGUGGCGAAGGCGACUGCCUGGGGAGCAACUGACGCUGAGGCGCGAAAGCUGGGGGAGCAAACGGGAUUAGAUACCCGUGUAU
rnacentral:rRNA from 1 species